GUGUUUCAGUGAAGGAGUUCAUAAUGUCAACAAGGACAAUGUGUGUUGUUUAUGGACAUUAAAACUGCCUUGAACCUAUAGUUAUUCAUGUUGUUACAUAGAUACGUUCAUAUCCAAGAAUGCAAUGUUAUAUGCGUGGUCAUGGGGAGAAUUUCAUAUCUAGAAGUUUAACUGUUGGUUAUGGUGGCCUACUUGGAUUCUAGAAUCAGUGGGCCAAGUGGGAGGUGUAGAACUUUCCAGCAGUUAUAACUAUUGUUUUAUUUAUAUAUAUAUAUAUAUUAAAAGUGAUGGAUGUUAUGAUUAUGUUCUGGGGUAUUUGAGGAAAUAAGUGUGUACAUAUACCACCUUAUUCCAAAUGCAGGCAUAUUUUAUGUUAUAUUUCAUAUAUGUUAUAAUCAUACCAGGUUACAGGUUUGUUUUAUUAUCAUUCCUGGUCACCAGACCGUGUGUCUGCUUAAUUAGUCAUAGUGCGCAGGCGGCUCGCCUUUAGGUUUCAUUUUCAUUCAAUUGAGGGUCAGGACUGGUACGCCUUGCCGGUGAGUGACUAUAAACUAGCAGUUUGCUAGUAAUUCAAA